UGCUUGCACUUCGCUGACGACCGGCGCACGGGUGAGUAUCGCGUAUACAAUCUGCCUCAUACUAGGGAAUAGCCCGAAGAAAUUUGGAUUAAUGCCCUAUAGUAUCUUUUUAAGGCAUCUUAUUAAGAUUAAAGUUUACGGUAUGAGAUGAGUAUGCGUUCUAUUAGCUAGUAGGUGUGGUAACGGCACACCUAGGCUACGAUAGAUAGGGGCCCUGAGAGGGGGAUCCCCCACACUGGUACUGAGACACGGACCAGACUCCUACGGGAGGCAGCAGUAAGGAAUAUUGGUCAAUGGACGAAAGUCUGAACCAGCCAUGCCGCGUGCAGGAUGACUGCCCUAUGGGUUGUAAACUGCUUUUAUAUAGGAAGAAAAACUUUCUCGUGAGAAAGCUUGACGGUACUAUAAGAAUAAGGAUCGGCUAACUCCGUGCCAGCAGCCGCGGUAAUACGGAGGAUCCAAGCGUNAUCCGGAAUCAUUGGGUUUAAAGGGUCCGUACGUGGACAAAUAA
rnacentral:rRNA from 1 species